rnacentral:rRNA from 1 species
UACGUACGGUGCAAGCGUUGUCCGGAAUUAUUGGGCGUAAAGAGCUCGUAGGCGGUCUGUUGCGUCGGCUGUGAAAACCCGGGGCUCAACCCCGGGCCUGCAGCCGAUACGGGCAGACUAGAGUUCGGCAGGGGAGACUGGAAUUCCUGGUGUAGCGGUGAAAUGCGCAGAUAUCAGGAGGAACACCGGUGGCGAAGGCGGGUCUCUGGGCCGAUACUGACGCUGAGGAGCGAAAGCGUGGGGAGCGAACAGG